rnacentral:tRNA from 1 species
GCGCGAGUGGCGGAAUUGGCAGACGCGCCAGAUUUAGGUUCUGGUGCCUUCGGGCGUGAGGGUUCGAGUCCCUUCUUGCGCA